UAUAGUGGAGAGUUACUUUGCUCUGAAGGGAAAAGUAGCAGAAUAAAUUUUUUUAUUAUUUUUGUAAAGUAAAUAUGGACAAGACUUUUCAGUAUGGCUUUUGCUCAGUUGAAGAUGUUUUAUCUUCCGAAGAUGUGUGUUUCAAAGCUCUGAUACCUGGAAGCUAAUGGGAGGUGACUUCACGUGUGAACUGAACUGCCCUCUGUCACACGGCAAGAAGGGCAUUAACUGGAAAUAUCAGCAAGGAAGUGCACAACAGGUUCUCCCCGGUUUUCCAGUCAGAGCUAUGUAUGCAGGGGUUUAUUCCAUGCCACUGAAGUCAAAGGUAGAACCUUUUAAAUGCUCUAGGACAUACAGGACAUAAUGCAAUGACAUGGCAGCUGAACCUUGAGAACAAACCCCAUGAACUUCAACACCUUGAACUGAUGAAUCCAACUCCACUGGCUCUGCUAAUCCAUCUUACAACCAACCUGGUGUGCUCUGACUGCGUGGGACCCAAGGCUUAGCUGCUAGCAGUGAUACAGUUUGGGAAUUUCUAAACAGAUUCUUAUUUCCUUCUGAUUAGGCAAAUAAAAACAUCCUGCAGUGAAUUCCAGCUGCAUCUGUUCAUGAGUUUUGUUCACUGAAUGCUCCCCAGAAAGUCCACACAAUGCUUAUGAUUGUGUGCAAUUUGUAUCUUGCUGCUGGAAAACAGUAGAUGCUGCCAGAGGUUUAUUCACAAAAGGUUUGGGAGCGUGUGGUGAGG